UAAAAAGCUAGCUAUAUCUCCUGGAGUUUAUCAGCUCUUUCCUGAGCUAACCCUAUUUGUAAGACUAUGCCAUAGAACAGAUCUGUGAAGCAAUUCCCUUAAAGCAAAAAAGGAUUUUCCACUCUGAGAAUAUGAAGCUAUCAUACCCCACAAACAUAAUGGUUUUGCAUUUAAAUCAUAGAAUCAUAGAAUGGUUUGGGUUAGAAGGGACCUUAAAAGAUCAUCUAAUAAGAGCUGUUUGCUGUAAAAACCUGGAUGAAGUCAUAGCUGGAGUGGCCAUGCACUGAGAUGCUGGAAGGAGAGACCCUGCAGCACAGGGAGAAGUGCUCCAGCAUGCAGGUAACCUCUCACUGAG